CGUAGCAGCUUUCUGAAUUUCUCCGUGUCAAUCAGCUUUCAGGUUCUUUUUUAGAUCUGCUCUGCACUCUUUCCUGUUCAGUAUCAGAACAAGAAUAAUACUGUUCAGGAUGAAGAUUUGUUGUAAUAGAACAAUAUGUUCAGUCGAGAUUUGGAGAGAAAUGUGAACCACAAUGAGGGAGAAGGCCUCCCCUACACUCCUGAAAUAAAUGGAUUUUCAAAUUGGG